AGUGGUGUAGAGAGGGAGAGAGGGGUGUAGAGAGGGAGAGAGUGGUGUAGAGAGGGAGAGCGGAGUGUAGAGAGGGUGAAGAGAGGGUGAGAGAGGGGCUAGACCCUGCUGCCUGCGUGGCAGCGAUGACUCAUCCCACUAAGAGAAGCUACUCCUGCAGGACACCGUCCGCUCCCCGUUGACCAAAUAUAGACAGGCUAUUUUCUCCUCCGUCUGCAGCCACUUAGGGGGAUUGCCAUGUACCUACGAGACUCUCUCUCUCUCUCAUAGACAGGAUGGGAAUGUUUAAACAACCAUGCCAUCAUAACAUAAAGCAAUUCUUCAUUGAAAGCGGUGACGGACUCCAUAUUCAGCCGAUGUCACCAUUUGUCCUUUCGUGUUGGGAGAGAAAGCUGAAGGGUAUAUACAGUCUGUUACAAACCACAACAUGUCACAGCAACCUGGUAUGUGCUGUUAUGGACAUUCUGAUCUACAUGCUGAGACAGGAAUACCGGGCACCGCCUGCUGUUAUGGACAUUCUGAUCUACAUGCUGAGACAGGAAUACCGGGCACCGCCUGCUGUCAUGGACAUUCUGAUCUACAUGCUGAGACAGGAAUACUGGGCACCGCCUGCUGUUAUGGACAUUCUGAUCUACAUGCUGAGACAGGAAUACCGGGCACCGCCUGCUGUUAUGGACAUUCUGAUCUACAUGCUGAGACAGGAAUACCGGGCACCGCCUGCUGUCAUGGACAUUCUGAUCUACAUGCUGAGACAGGAAUACCGGGCACCGCCUGCUGUUAUGGACAUUCUGAUCUACAUGCUGAGACAGGAAUACCGGGCACCGCCUGCUGUUAUGGACAUUCUGAUCUACAUGCUGAGACAGGAAUACCGGGCACCGCCUGCUGUCAUGGACAUUCUGAUCUACAUGCUGAGACAGGAAUACCGGGCACCGCCUGCUGUUAUGGACAUUCUGAUCUACAUGCUGAGACAGGAAUACCGGGCACCGCCUGCUGUUAUACUAACUAACUCAAUGCCAAGUAUGCAUCUUUUCCUUCUUUACUUAAAAAGGUAGACUCAGCGAUAUGACGUAGAAAGUAAACAGCGAGUCAAUUUCCACAACAACUAAGAGCCUUGAAGUGCGAGUCUCAACUUCUCAGCCGUUUUGGUUCCGUGACUUCCACGCUGUAAACACGGUCCCGUGGCUUCCACGCUGUAAACACGGUCCCGUGGCUACCACGCUGUAAACACGGUCCCGUGGCUUCCACGCUGUAAAAACGGUCCCGUGGCUUCCACGCUGUAAACACGGUCCCGUGGCUUCCACGCUAUAAACACGGUCCCGUGGCUACCACGCUGUAAACACGGUCCCGUGGCUUCCACGCUGUAAACACGGUCCCGUGACUUCCACGCUGUAAAAACGGUCCCGUGGCUACCACGCUGUAAAAACGGUCCCGUGGCUACCACGCUGUAAACACGGUCCUGUGGCUACCACGCUGUAAACACGGUCCCGUGGCUACCACGCUGUAAAAACGGUCCCGUGGCUACCACGCUGUAAACACGGUCCCGUGGCUACCACGCUGUAAACACGGUCCCGUGGCUACCACGCGUUAAAAUGUAUGAAGCAAACCAUUGAACAGAUACCGUCUGACAGUGUACAUUUUUUUUUGCAACUGCUGAUCGCAACUACGUCGUUUUUGCGGAGUCAACCUGCAUGGUGAAUUAGCACUUUGACAUGUUUCUCUUGCUCAGUUCUUCAAUACCCCUCUCUCUCUGUCUGGAAUGAUCCUAACAAUGACAAAAUGUCUAGCUACUUCAGUGCUCAGUUCUUCAGGAGCUCAGUGUGCCAUAAGGGAAACUGCUGGGUCGAUUUAAAAAGAGAGAGUUUGUGAAACAAUGAAGAGACAGACUAAACAUACUGAUAUUUUGUAAUUACAUAUUUAGGUUUUCGAGAUCAAGUCGGUUGUUCCUUUCGAACGAAAGGAUUGGUUUUUCAGAGAAUCAGUGUUGUAUCAAGACUGAGUUUGAUUUAAUGAAGAACACCGGAAUAAUACUUGAAGAAAAGCACUUCAGAAACCAUAACUAAAUGUGACUGCCAGUACUGGUGUUAUACUACGGCACUAAAUAUGACACCUGUACAGACCACACGCUACUGAGGUCCGUCGACACGCUACUGACGAGGACCGUCCACACGCUACUGACGAGGUCCGUCGACACACUACUGAGGUCCGUCGACACGCUACUGAGAGGGUCCGUCGACACGCUACUGACGAGGUCCGUCGACACGCUACUGACGAGGUCCGUCGACACGCUACUGACGAGGUCCGUCGACACGCUACUGACGAGGUCCGUCGACACGCUACGACGAGGUCCGUCGACACGCUACUGACGAGGUCCGUCGACACGCGACUGACGAGGACCGUCGACACACUACUGAGGUCCGUCGACACGCUACUGACGAGGUCCGUCGACACGCUACUGAGAAGGACCGUCGACACGCUACUGAGAAGGACCGUCGACACGCUACUGACGAGGUCUGUCAACACUGGCCGGGGUUAGACGGAGAAAACAAAGUACUUUUGAGAUUCAGCCCAUGUGUUGAUCACUCAGUCUAGUCUGAGGUGAAAGGUCAGGUGAACGAGCGUGAGCUGAUCAGGUGUACCUGUACUGUUCACAACCCCUUGUGUUAUGAUGAAAUGUACAUAGAAAGAGGCCACCAAUGUAAUAAAAAGACACAUGACUUAAA